AGAGUUUGAUCCUGGCUCAGAUUGAACGCUGGCGGCAGGCUUAACACAUGCAAGUCGAGCGGAGAUGAGGUGCUUGCACCUUAUCUUAGCGGCGGACGGGUGAGUAAUGCUUAGGAAUCUGCCUAUUAGUGGGGGACAACAUUCCGAAAGGAAUGCUAAUACCGCAUACGUCCUACGGGAGAAAGCAGGGGAUCUUCGGACCUUGCGCUAAUAGAUGAGCCUAAGUCGGAUUAGCUAGUUGGUGGGGUAAAGGCCUACCAAGGCGACGAUCUGUAGCGGGUCUGAGAGGAUGAUCCGCCACACUGGGACUGAGACACGGCCCAGACUCCUACGGGAGGCAGCAGUGGGGAAUAUUGGACAAUGGGGGGAACCCUGAUCCAGCCAUGCCGCGUGUGUGAAGAAGGCCUUAUGGUUGUAAAGCACUUUAAGCGAGGAGGAGGCUACUGAGACUAAUACUCUUGGAUAGUGGACGUACUCGCAGAAUAAGCACCGGCUAACUCUGUGCCAGCAGCCGCGGUAAUACAGAGGGUGCGAGCGUUAAUCGGAUUUACUGGGCGUAAAGCGUGCGUAGGCGGCUUUUUAAGUCGGAUGU
rnacentral:rRNA from 1 species